rnacentral:rRNA from 1 species
ACAGAGGGUGCGAGCGUUAAUCGGAAUUACUGGGCGUAAAGCGCGCGUAGGCGGUUAUGUAAGUUGGAUGUGAAAUCCCCGGGCUUAACCUGGGCACUGCAUUCAAAACUGCAUAGCUAGAGUAUGGGAGAGGAUGGUAGAAUUCCAGGUGUAGCGGUGAAAUGCGUAGAGAUCUGGAGGAAUACCGAUGGCGAAGGCAGCCAUCUGGCCUAAUACUGACGCUGAGGUGCGAAAGCAUGGGGAGCAAACAGG